rnacentral:rRNA from 1 species
GGACCUGACUCGCUAUCGGAUUGAUACUAAGCCAUGCGAGUCAUUGUAGCAAUACAAGGCAUACGGCUCAGUAACGCGUAGUCAACCUAACCUAUGGACGGGAAUAACCUCGGGAAACUGAGAAUAAUGCCCGAUAGAACAUUAUGCCUGGAAUGGUUUAUGUUCCAAAUGAUUUAUCGCCGUAGGAUGGGACUGCGGCCUAUCAGUUUGUUGGUGAGGUAAUGGCCCACCAAGACUAUUACAGGUACGGGCUCUGAGAGGAGUAGCCCGGAGAUGGGUACUGAGACACGGACCCAGGCCCUAUGGGGCGCAGCAGGCGAGAAAACUUUGCAAUGUGCGAAAGCACGACAAGGUUAAUCCGAGUGGUUUCUGCUAAAGAAACCUUUUGUCAGUCCUAGAAACACUGAUGAAUAAGGGGUGGGCAAGUUCUGGUGU